CUUCCGGGUCGUCUCCAGGGACAGGUACUCCACCCAGCUCUUCUUGUCCUGGUAGUUCUUGGACUCAUCCACGAUCUUCUGAAACAUCGCUCUCUUCCUGAACCCAGGGAACAAGGGAGGUGCAGUGCUCACACACCCAGUGCUCACCCGCUGCAUCAGAACCCUGCUCCGCAGGAUACGGCCCUGCCGUCCUGCGGACGCUGCGUCCCCAGCGCCCACAGCAGAAACCGAGGGUUGUUGGUGCCGCGGUGGUCGAUGUCAUGGCACAGGCCGGCUGUCACCAUGGCGAAGGCCUCCAGCCACGUACCAUGAGCAGCGUGAACAUCGUCUGGGCCACGUUGAAGCCGUGGCGCCAGUUGUGGUAGGUGAUUCUCCGGUACCCUUUGCUGAUGGAGAACAGGAACCGCACCAGGACCUGGGGGAGCCGAGAGGACACAGGGCUCCGGCGGCAAGCGUGUAAGUCCCGCCAGAGCGGCACCUGUGGCUGACUUCACAGUGGAAGCCCUGCUCCGUGCCAUCAUCCCCACACCGUCUCCUGGACUUCCCGAUCUUCCCCAUCCCUGCGUUUCCCACUGGCCUCUGCUGGCCUUCCUGGGUAGGGGCUGCCACAUUGGCACCUAUGGGGUGGAGCCAGGUAGGGCAGGAGCUGAGAACAGCCCCAGCCUUCAGGGGCCGCCCAGCCUCCAUCCGACUGCCUGGCCUCAAGCUGGGAGGAGGACCCCUGGGGAUGCAGCAUAUUUUAAGAUGUUGGUUUUAGGCAUGGACAUUUGAAUGAGCAGAAUGUGUGGGCUGCAGGCUGGGGUGGGAGAACCGAUGUCCGCAGGGCAAGAGAAUGCUGGUCUCUCUUGCCCUGCGGACAUCGCCAGGAGGCUCUUCCUGCGGCCAUUGUGAUUUUUAGGGUCAGAAAAUUAUUUGGAAAUAUUUUUUAUUCUGCAAAUAUUUUCUAUACAUUUUUUCUUGAGUGUUUUCCCUUAGUAUUUAGUAAAACUUCUUUUGAAAAUGCUGGCCUGCUGCACCUGUUCUCAGAGGGGCAUGAGAAAAGAGGAUUCUCUUCCUAGGGCUGUGGGAAGCCCCUUGAGAUGUUGGAAGCAGGGCAGGGCAGGAGAACCCAGGGAGGGCACAGAGCUGUGGACGAGGGCUGGGAAAGCCAUCCCGCCUCCCCAGGGGGUCUCCGAGGAGUGCUGCUGUGGCCAAACCAGGGGGGCCACUUUGUGCUUUCUGUUUAGGUGAUGGGAUGCUUCUAUCUCCUCAGCACCCCACACCAAAUCCCCUGUUAUUGCCAGAUGAUGUGCCUAAUGAUCAAAUUGCUUGGAACUCCUAAUAAUAAAACUUUAAAUCUAUCCAUUC
rnacentral:lncRNA from 10 species